AUUGAACGCUGGCGGCAUGCCUUACACAUGCAAGUCGAACGGUAACGCGGGGCAACCUGGCGACGAGUGGCGAACGGGUGAGUAAUGCAUCGGAACGUGCCCAGUAGUGGGGGAUAGCCCGGCGAAAGCCGGAUUAAUACCGCAUACGACCUACGGGUGAAAGGGGGGGAUCGCAAGACCUCUCGCUAUUGGAGCGGCCGAUGUCAGAUUAGGUAGUUGGUGGGGUAAAGGCCCACCAAGCCUUCGAUCUGUAGCUGGUCUGAGAGGACAACCAGCCACACUGGGACUGAGACACGGCCCAGACUCCUACGGGAGGCAGCAGUGGGGAAUUUUGGACAAUGGGCGCAAGCCUGAUCCAGCCAUGCCGCGUGCGGGAAGAAGGCCUUCGGGUUGUAAACCGCUUUUGUCAGGGAAGAAACGCUCUGGGCUAAUACCUCGGGGUAAUGACGGUACCUGAAGAAUAAGCACCGGCUAACUACGUGCCAGCAGCCGCCGUAACAC
rnacentral:rRNA from 1 species